AGUGAACGCUGGCGGUAGGCCUAACACACGCAAGUCGAACGGCAGCACAGUAAGAGCUUGCUCUUACGGGUGGCGAGUGGCGGACGUGUGAGGAAUACAUCGGAAUCUACUUUUUCGUGGGGGAUAACGUAGGGAAACUUACGCUAAUACCGCAUACGACCUACGGGUGAAAGCAGGGGAUCUUCGGACCUUGCGCGAUUGAAUGAGCCGGUGUCGGAUUAGCUAGUUGGCGGGGUAAAGGCCCACCAAGGCGACGAUCCGUAGCUGGUCUGAGAGGAUGAUCAGCCACACUGGAACUGAGACACGGUCCAGACUCAUACGGGAGGCAGCAGUGGGGAAUAUUGGACAAUGGGCGCAAGCCUGAUCCAGCCAUACCGCGUGGGUGAAGAAGGCCUUCGGGUUGUAAAGCCCUUUUGUUGGGAAAGAAAAGCAGCAGGUUAAUACCCCGCUGUUCUGACGGUACCCAAAGAAUAAGCACCGGCUAACUUCGUG
rnacentral:rRNA from 1 species